AAUAUAUCGGAACGUGCCCUGUAGUGGGGGAUAACUAGUCGAAAGAUUAGCUAAUACCGCAUACGACCUGAGGGUGAAAGUGGGGGACCGCAAGGCCUCACGCUAUAGGAGCGGCCGAUAUCUGAUUAGCUAGUUGGUGGGGUAAAGGCCCACCAAGGCGACGAUCAGUAGCUGGUCUGAGAGGACGAUCAGCCACACUGGGACUGAGACACGGCCCAGACUCCUACGGGAGGCAGCAGUGGGGAAUUUUGGACAAUGGGGGCAACCCUGAUCCAGCAAUGCCGCGUGUGUGAAGAAGGCCUUCGGGUUGUAAAGCACUUUUGUCCGGAAAGAAAUCCCCUGGGAUAAUACCUCGGGGGGAUGACGGUACCGGAAGAAUAAGGACCGGCUAACUACGUGCCAGCAGCCGCGGUAAUACGUAGGGUCCGAGCGUUAAUCGGAAUUACUGGGCGUAAAGCGUGCGCAGGCGGUUGUGUAAGACAGAUGUGAAAUCCCCGGGCUCAACCUGGGAAUUGCAUUUGUGACUGCACGGCUAGAGUGUGUCAGAGGGGGGUAGAAUUCCACGUGUAGCAGUGAAAUGCGUAGAGAUGUGGAGG
rnacentral:rRNA from 1 species